AAAAUUUUAAAAGUCGAACAGACUCAAUAUUUAAGCUUCUACACCUAAAAUAAAUUUUAAUCCAACAUCGAGGUCGCAAACUUUUCUUUAAAUAUGAACUUUCAAAAAAAAUUACG
rnacentral:rRNA from 1 species